rnacentral:rRNA from 1 species
GUUGAAAAGUGAGCGGAUGAACUGAGGGUAGCGGAGAAAUUCCAAUCGAACCUGGAGAUAGCUGGUUCUCUCCGAAAUAGCUUUAGGGCUAGCCUCAAGUGAUGAUUAUUGGAGGUAGAGCACUGUUUGGACGAGGGGCCCCUCUCGGGUUACCGAAUUCAGACAAACUCCGAAUGCCAAUUAAUUUAACUUGGGAGUCAGAACAUGGGUGAUAAGGUCCAUGUUCGAAAGGGAAACAGCCCAGACCACCAGCUAAGGUCCCAAAAUAUAUGUUAAGUGGAAAAGGAUGUGGCGUUGCCCAGACAACUAGGAUGUUGGCUUAGAAGCAGCCAUCAUUUAAAGAGUGCGUAAUAGCUCACUAGUCGAGUGACACUGCGCCGAAAAUGUACCGGGGCUAAACAUAUUACCGAAGCUGUGGAUUGUCCUUUGGACAAUGGUAGGAGAGCGUUCUAAGGGCGUUGAAGCAUGAUCGCAAGGACAUGUGGAGCGCUUAGAAGUGAGAAUGCCGGUGUGAGUAGCGAAAGAUGGGUGAGAAUCCCGUCCACCGAUUGACUAAGGUUUCCAGAGGAAGGCUCGUCCGCUCUGGGUUAGUCGGGUCCUAAGCUGAGGCCGACAGGCGUAGGCGAUGGAUAACAGGUUGAUAUUCCUGUACCACCUAUAAUCGUUUUAAUCGAUGGGGGGACGCAGUAGGAUAGGCGAAGCGUGCGAUUGGAUUGCACGUCUAAGCAGUAAGGCUGAGUAUUAGGCAAAUCCGGUACUCGUUAAGGCUGAGCUGUGAUGGGGAGAAGACAUUGUGUCUUCGAGUCGUUGAUUUCACACUGCCGAGAAAAGCCUCUAGAUAGAAAAUAGGUGCCCGUACCGCAAACCGACACAGGUAGUCAAGAUGAGAAUUCUAAGGUGAGCGAGCGAACUCUCGUUAAGGAACUCGGCAAAAUGACCCCGUAACUUCGGGAGAAGGGGUGCUCUUUAGGGUUAACGCCCAGAAGAGCCGCAGUGAAUAGGCCCAAGCGACUGUUUAUCAAAAACACAGGUCUCUGCUAAACCGUAAGGUGAUGUAUAGGGGCUGACGCCUGCCCGGUGCUGGAAGGUUAAGAGGAGUGGUUAGCUUCUGCGAAGCUACGAAUCGAAGCCCCAGUAAACGGCGGCCGUAACUAUAACGGUCCUAAGGUAGCGAAAUUCCUUGUCGGGUAAGUUCCGACCCGCACGAAAGGCGUAACGAUUUGGGCACUGUCUCAACGAGAGACUCGGUGAAAUCAUAGUACCUGUGAAGAUGCAGGUUACCCGCGACAGGACGGAAAGACCCCGUGGAGCUUUACUGUAGCCUGAUAUUGAAAUUCGGCACAGCUUGUACAGGAUAGGUAGGAGCCUUUGAAACGUGAGCGCUAGCUUACGUGGAGGCGCUGGUGGGAUACUACCCUAGCUGUGUUGGCUUUCUAACCCGCACCACUUAUCGUGGUGGGAGACAGUGUCAGGCGGGCAGUUUGACUGGGGCGGUCGCCUCCUAAAAGGUAACGGAGGCGCUCAAAGGUUUCCUCAGAAUGGUUGGAAAUCAUUCAUAGAGUGUAAAGGCAUAAGGGAGCUUGACUGCGAGACCUACAAGUCGAGCAGGGUCGAAAGACGGACUUAGUGAUCCGGUGGUUCCGCAUGGAAGGGCCAUCGCUCAACGGAUAAAAGCUACCCCGGGGAUAACAGGCUUAUCUCCCCCAAGAGUUCACAUCGACGGGGAGGUUUGGCACCUCGAUGUCGGCUCAUCGCAUCCUGGGGCUGUAGUCGGUCCCAAGGGUUGGGCUGUUCGCCCAUUAAAGCGGUACGCGAGCUGGGUUCAGAACGUCGUGAGACAGUUCGGUCCCUAUCCGUCGUGGGCGUAGGAAAUUUGAGAGGAGCUGUCCUUAGUACGAGAGGACCGGGAUGGACAUACCUCUGGUGUACCAGUUGUCGUGCCAACGGCAUAGCUGGGUAGCUAUGUGUGGACGGGAUAAGUGCUGAAAGCAUCUAAGCAUGAAGCCCCCCUCAAGAUGAGAUUUCCCAACUUCGGUUAUAAGAUCCCUCAAAGAUGAUGAGGUUAAUAGGUUCGAGGUGGAAGCAUGGUGACAUGUGGAGCUGACGAAUACUAAUCGAUCGAAGACUUAAUCAAAUU